rnacentral:lncRNA from 1 species
CAGGCGGCAAUCGUCCACAAGAAGAGGGGAAGUCAUGGCAGCCGGGUCCUCAUCUGUGACCGCUCCCUGACCACCAUAUUCUGCUGGUAAGGGUGCGGAGCAGCAGCUGAACCUGCAAGCGUAAUUGUUCUUGAUUUCAUAGCUGAAAGAUGGACUGAUGAAACUGUUUGGAUUGGCUUUCGUUUUUGUAGCAUUUGUUCCUUGUGAGGGGGAUAGUAUAUUAUCCUCAAAUAAUAGUGGAGUGUUCUAAAGAAAGGGCUAGCAUAGGAGAUGCAACGGGGUAGCAUAUUAUCCGAGGAGUGUUCUAAAGUUGCCAAACAUAUCUCCCCCGAAUCUUUUUGCGUUUGGAUCCUUUUGCAUCUCCUAUUCCUCUUUUGGUUUCUUCUUCUUGCCUCUAUCAUUCCUUUGGAUGUUUCUUGGGCUAUUUGGAUGUUUCUUGGGCUAUUUGGAUGUUUCUUGGGCUAUUUUUGCUGCUUGCUAGGCGUUUAUUUCUUGGGUUUUUGCCUUUCACUUUCAUUUUCUUCUCUUUCUUCUUUGACUUUUAUGUGCUUCCUCUUCACCUGAUUGACACUGUGUUGUUUAUGUGCUGCCUACUUUGUUUUGCGGGUACUAUGCUUGUCGUGGAUUGCUACCUCACGUGUACGCAGAGGACAUCUUGGGUGUUCAGGUAGCUGGUUUACCCACUAAUUUAUUUUACUUACCCUAAAAAGCAUUUCUGUUUGGUGCAUCAUGUUCUUCCAAUUGCUUGAUUGAUUAGAGAGCCCUGCCACAUUUAUUUACGAGAGGAGGCGCUUGAUAGAUAGGGAUUCAGUAGAAGCAACUACUAUAUAAGGAUGACCCUUGUAUGUUUAUGAAAUAAAAUUAUGAUGUAGGCCUCAGACUUUCUUGGGUUUAUUAAGUGGAAGAGCUAGAUUAGCCAGCCAGUUCCUUUUGGGGUUUACACAUGAAUCCUACAUGUUCCAUAUGAUUUUGAGGCCUCGUGUUAUGCCAGCGGUUUGAUUAUUGUAUCAGCUAGCUGAUUUACCCCCUAAUUUUCUUUAAUUUGGUUCGAUACUGUGCAUGUAUUAAUGUUUAGUGUCACUUGGAUUAAGAAGAAAGAGCUGGUACACCGUACAAAAGAAAGAAGUAUACAGAUAUGCAGAUGCCAGUAGCUAUAAUUUUAUAUAUGCAAAGCACAGAGACAAUUCUAGAUAGAAGUGUAUUGAACUACUGAUGGUUUGGAAUUGGUGGUGCAUUAUCACCGGUCUACUGUAUCGGUAAUCACACAUUCAACAUGUGAUUCAGUACAAUAUUUAGCAAGUCUGCAUGUUGUUUUAUACGGGGUCUUGAAUAUUUGGUUUUUCUUCUGUUUUGGAUGAAAUUAUGAUUCUAUAUGCCAAUGAUUUUUUCUUCUCUCAGCUUGAAUUCCGAGAGUAAUAGAACUUGCAUGACUUGAUCAAAUUUCUUUACUUACAGUAUAUGUAAUGCUUGGUUGGUCUAUUCACUGUUAUCCUUUGUUUGCAGCUUUGGAAUAUACAAUAAGUUCGAUGGCUAGCAAUUCAGGAUUCUCGGUUGUCCAAUCACCCAGUAACUUUGAGGUGGGAUUUCUCUUAAUUUGCUUUUAGAGGUAUAAGUUCAGUGGAACACAGAUGUAUGUAUCUUACAUGUAUACCUAUAAGCAGUGAGCAUUCUCUUAAUUGUAUGAGAGCAAACAACAAAUUACUGGAUACAUGGCUGAAGUAUGGUUGUAAUCCAUAUCCAUGUUUGCGCGAGCUUUUAAAACUGACGAAAAUGUUAAUUAUUUUCUUUAGUUACUCUAGCAAACACUGACCUUGAUUUGGUAUCAACAUUUCCAGUUCUACAUUGGAAUUUUAAAUGUAGGCAAUGUACUUUUUGUUACACAACAACUAUUGCUUCUGAAACC